rnacentral:rRNA from 1 species
GACGAACGCUGGCGGCGUGCCUAAUACAUGCAAGUCGAGCGAGUCUGCCUUGAAGAUCGGAGUGCUUGCACUCUGUGAAACAAGAUACAGGCUAGCGGCGGACGGGUGAGUAACACGUGGGUAACCUGCCCAAGAGAUCGGGCUAACACCUGGAAACAGAUGCUAAUACCGGAUAACAACAGAUGAUGCCUAUCAACUGUUUAAAAGGUGGUUCUGCUAUCACUCUUGGAUGGACCUGCGGUGCAUUAGCUAGUUGGUAGGGUAACGGCCUACCAAGGCGAUGAUGCAUAGCCGAGUUGAGAGACUGAUCGGCCACAUUGGGACUGAGACACGGCCCAAACUCCUACGGGAGGCAGCAGUAGGGAAUCUUCCACAAUGGGCGCAAGUCUGAUGGAGCAACGCCGCGUGAGUGAAGAAGGGUUUCGGCUCGUAAAGCUCUGUUGUUGGGGAAGAAGGACAGGGGUAGUAACUGACCUUUGUUUGACGGUAAUCAAUUAGAAAGUCACGGCUAACUACGUG